rnacentral:lncRNA from 15 species
UUUAAAUUCCUUCUUUUCAACUCUCCUCUCAGGUCAAGAAAUCAACAACUCAAUUCAUCUUGCACCAUGACUCAAAACCAGAGUUUUCAGGUCGUAGAAGACCUGAUUUCCUUCACCUCUUCUGACUACGAGGUGCAGAAGCUUCUGGGGAGUGGUUCCUUUGGAGAAGCGGUCCAGUGCAGGAAGGUGUCCACCAAUGAAACGGUGGCAGUAACAAAUCAGUUCAUUGAGGAGGCAAAGAAUGAGGUGUGACAUAAAUGAUGUUUCUCAACAUUUCCCUUGUGUGAUAAUUAAAAAAACACAUUGAAUUUACAUUGAAUCUCUCUCUGAUAUUUCACACAUUCAGGAGGAAAUCCUAAUGAAGAUGUUGUGCAGCAGGUUUGUUUCUCCAACACAAAAGUUUUAACACAACCUGCAUUGUCUAAAACAGCAGAUGGAAGGUGUACUUGAUCUCUUAAAUGCAUGAAUAUGAUUUUUGUCAAAUCUUACAUCAAAGUACAUCUUUCCUCUCAAACUGCAAGCCUCCAUCAGGAUAUGGAUGAUACCCUACAAAUAAGGACAGAUUUUUACAGUGUAUUAAACCAAAUGUCUAAAUACUAGAGAUGGUGGAUACAUUGACACCUUCAGUUCUUUCAAAUUAAGUUCUUCAAAGUCUCUACAGUCAUCAUCCUCAGGGUGUAGUCUCACUAUGGCUACAAAUGUUGGUCCAUCUCUGAACUCUCCAAGAGAAAUAGCUGGUUGUGUUCAUAUAGUUGGCUGUGCAUGAUUGUCAAAAGUACAUAUUUGUUUUUGAGGCUGCAUUCUGCAUAAACGUCCAUCAAUAAAUCUGUUCCGUGGGAGCUGAUUGCUUUUUACUGUCAUUGAUUCAGUUGGCUACAGCUCUGGAGUCGUUCAUGCAGAUCUAAAAGCUGAAAACAUCAUGAUGGUGGAUCAUGUACGGCAGCCACUGUCAGAGUCAUCGACUUUGGCUUAGCCUGCCACGAUCCCGAGGAAUGGAGGGGUGCCACUCUUCAAACGUUAUGGUACAGAAGCCCGGAUACCAUCCCAGCAAAGAAACGGCGGAGUGGAUGCAGGUCAGAAAACAAGCCCACCAAAGUCACCGCUGCUCAAAAGAAAGAGGGACAGUGCUGAUCCAUGCACAACCUCAGAGAGCAGCUCCCCAGGAGGGAAGAGGAGGAGAAGCCGUGAUGAAGAGUGGAAACACAGCGUCACAAGUAAGGUCAUCUAUGGCAACACACAUGCUAGU